GAACGCUGGCGGCGUGCCUAAUACAUGCAAGUCGAACGGUCUUUCUAUGGAAGCUUGCUUCCACUGAGAAGAUAGUGGCGAACGGGUGAGUAACACGUGGGUAACCUGCCCAUAAGAGGGGGGAUAACAUCCGGAAACGGGUGCUAAUACCGCAUAGUUUUCUUGAUCGCAUGAUUGAGAAAGGAAAGACGGCCUUUGUGCUGUCGCUUAUGGAUGGACCCGCGGCGUAUUAGUUAGUUGGUGAGGUAACGGCUCACCAAGACGAUGAUACGUAGCCGACCUGAGAGGGUGAUCGGCCACAUUGGGACUGAGACACGGCCCAAACUCCUACGGGAGGCAGCAGUAGGGAAUCUUCCGCAAUGGACGAAAGUCUGACGGAGCAACGCCGCGUGAGUGAAGAAAAGGGUUUUCGGAUCGUAAAACUCUGUUGUCAGAGAAGAACAAGUUGGAGAGUAACUGCUCCAGCCUUGACGGUAUCUGACCAGAAAGCCACGGCUAACUACGUGCCAGCCGCAGC
rnacentral:rRNA from 1 species